rnacentral:snRNA from 1 species
AUACCUUUCUCGGCCUUUUGGCUAAGAUCAAGUGUAGUAUCUGUUCUUAUCAGUUUAAUAUUUGAUAUGUGGACCAUUGGUUCACACGAUAUUAAAUUAAUUUUUUGAGGGGGAGGGUCCAUUAUAGUAGCUUGCUACUGGGGCUCUCACGUGUUGCCCUUGCGUUGCACUACUGCACGGGCCUGGCACACCCCAC